GUUGAUUAGAUACCCUGGUAGUCCAUGCCGUAAACGUUGGGCACUAGGUGUGGGGACCAUUCCACGGUUUCCGCGCCGCAGCUAACGCAUUAAGUGCCCCGCCUGGGGAGUACGGCCGCAAGGCUAAAACUCAAAGGAAUUGACGGGGGCCCGCACAAGCGGCGGAGCAUGCGGAUUAAUUCGAUGCAACGCGAAGAACCUUACCAAGGCUUGACAUGUUCUCGAUCGCCGUAGAGAUACGGUUUCCCCUUUGGGGCGGGUUCACAGGUGGUGCACGGUCGUCGACAACU
rnacentral:rRNA from 1 species